CCUACGGGUGGCAGCAGUGAGGAAUAUUGGUCAAUGGGCGCGAGCCUGAACCAGCCAAGUAGCGUGAAGGAUGACUGCCCUACGGGUUGUAAACUUCUUUUGUAAAGGAAUAAAGUGAGGCACGUGUGCCUUGUUGUAUGUACUUUACGAAUAAGGAUAGGCUAACUCCGUGCCAGCAGCCGCGGUAAUACGGAGGAUCCGAGCGUUAUCCGGAUUUAUUGGGUUUAAAUGGAUCGUAGGUGGGUUGUUAAGUCAGAUGUGAAAGUUUGCGGCUCAACCGUAAAAUUGCAUUUGAUACUGGCUGUCUUGAGUACAGUUGAGGUAGGCGGAAUUCGUGGUGUAGCGGUGAAAUGCUUAGAUAUCACGAAGAACUCCGAUUGCGAAGGCAGCUUACUAAACUGCCACUGACGUUGAUGCUCGAAAGUGUGGGUAGCAAACAGGAUUAGAUACCCGAGUAGUC
rnacentral:rRNA from 1 species